rnacentral:lncRNA from 1 species
UAUCUCCCUUCGCUGACUCUCUUUUCGGACUCAGCCCACCUGCACCCAUGUGACUAAAAAGCUUUAUUGCUCACACAAAGCCUGUUUGGUGGUCUCUUCACACGGACGUGCGUCACAUUUGGUGCCAAAACCUGGGACAGGAGGACUCCUUCAGGAGACUGGUCUCCUGUCUUUGCCCUCACUCUGUGAGGAGAUCCACCUACCACCUCAGGUCUUCAGACCAACCAGCCCAAGAAACAUCUCAUGAAUUUCAAAUUGGGAUCCAUCUUGUUGCAGCUCUGAGACUGCUGGGUCCCACCCCUUCAAGAUUCCUAGCCAAUCAGGCUCCACUUCUCUCCCUUUAACCAGUCCUGGACAAGCCUGACCAGCCUUGAAGACCCAAGUAAGGCUCAGCCUUUGUUUAGCCAUCUCAACAGCAGAGACAGAGAUGGAGUCUCGUUCUGUUGCCCAGGCUGGAGUGCAAAUACUGUGAUCUUGGCUCACUGCAACCUCUGCCUCCCAGGUUCAAGCAGUCCUCCUGUCUCAGCCUCCCGAGUAGCUGGGAUUACAGGCAUGUGCCACCACACCUGGGCAGAGAAGUUAAGGAUCAUGUCCUGCAAAUAAAGGCUGAACCAAGAUUUGAAUGACAGGGUCCUGACUCCACAGGCUGUACUCUUAACUGCUACUACCACAGUUUUUGUUUGUUUGUUUUUUAAAUCUCACCCUUUAAAAAUUCCUUUUUAGGUAUGUUUUAUUAGUAGUAUAAUAGAGCAUCCUGGUUCCUUGGGGGUCCAAACUGAAAAAUUUUUACCGGUAGGAAUGCCCAGUCACAUUAUGCCACUUUUUCACAUGCUACCUUGCUUCAUUUGCUUAUUGCUUCAUAUUCAUAAAUCGUAUUUCUCCUAGGAAAUUUGGAGUGUCCUUGAAGGUAGGAAUUAUGUCUUAAACUUUCACUUGGUUCCCACAGUAGGCCUAACUGUAUUGUCCCUACUCAUUGAAUUGAAUAAAACUGGUACUCCAGCAACCUUAUACCUCUGGAGUAAAGCAAAGCUAGUGCAAAUAUAUACAGUAGAAGUAUAGUCCAUUUCCAGAGCUUCUGGGAAGGCCGAAAUCACUAACCACACAGUAACUUAAAAAUAAUCCUGCUGGCCAGGCACGGUAGCUCACGCCUCACUUUGGGAGGCCGAAGCAGGCAGGUCACAAGGUCAGGAGUUCAAGACCUGCCUGGACAACAUGGUGAAACCCCAUCUCCAUUAAAAAUACAAAAAUUAGCCGGGUGUGGUGGCACGUGCCUGUAAUCCCAGCUACUUAGGAGGCUGAGGCAGGAGAAUUGCUUCAACUCGGGAAAUGGAGGUUGCAGUGAGCCAAGAUCAUGCCAUUGCACUCCAGCCUGGGUGAUAGAGUGAGACUCUGUCUCAAAAUAAAAAUAAAAAUAAAACACCAACAUGAAACCGUAUUUAAUUUAGGGCUUUGCUGUCCAGCGAACUCAAACUGCAGAUGUGCUGCAAUCAGCCUAAUUGAAAGUGGUUAUAACCCAUGCUUUGACUCCCUCUGUUGGCAGGAAGAGGUUGCUUUCUCACUUGCGGGAAUUCUUAGCUCAGGUUGUAUAAUGGCUGUUUACUACAGAUACAGCCUGAGAAAAUUCAGCCAGAUUAGAUAAGGGGAAGACAACACCCACUGAAUCUUUCUCCCCAGAUGGCAACUAAAUACUCUUUUCAUUUUUCUUACAUGCUAACAUUGCUACCUAUAAACUGCUUAGUUAAUUGUUCAGAGAACCACCACACACCUGACCUUGUUUGGCUGUGACUUUCUUCUUUUUUUUUUUUUUUUUCUUUUGGAGAUGGGGUCUCAUUCUGUCGCCCAGGCUGGAGUGCAGUGGCGCGAUCAUAGCUCACUGUAACCUCAAGCUCCUGGCCUCAAGUGAUCCUCCCGCCUCAGCCUCCAGAAGUGCUGGAAUUACAGGCGUGAGUCACUGCACCUGGCCCCAGUCUUCUAAUUGCAGGGUAUAAGAAGUACAACCUUGAUAGCUCACAGAAGGCUGCACAGGGAAAGCCUGGCUUUCCCACACUGUCUGCUAACACUGUAUCUCUAAUAUUUUCCAUGAUACAGGAAUUUUUUUGGCUUCAUCUAGUGGAAUAAAAUAUCUAAAAUUAUUCGUUUGAAUCAUUAAGUGGAAUCAAACACAUACACAUCUUUCCUUAGCACAUUGUUUCUUUCCCAAUUCCCCCUUUCCAGAAUUUUUAUAUACGCAUCUCAACUGUCACUUAAUCACGUCAAUGACUCCUCAUCAUUUGAGAUUUGGCUCCAAUACCCCAGGCAGAAUUCCUCUGUAUGGUUUUCCCACAGGCAUACAGAGCAUCUCUUCUCCCAUUUCGGCUGUGAGCAACUCCUAAGACCAGUGGAGACCCUGAGAUGCCACCAGUGCCUGGCAUAUUUCAGAAUUCAAAAAAGAUUUGUUUAAAUAAAUACAAUUUAAAACCAUAUUCCAUUUUAAAGGCUAAUUUUAUCCAUAUGAGAAUUCUCCCUGCAUGCAAUGUGAAGACAUUUAAUUCAUUAAAGGGGCAUAACAAUUUUAUAUAUAUAUAUAUAUAUAUAUAUAUAUAUAUAUAUAUAAAACUUUGUUUACAUUAGAGUAUAAUUAAAUAGGCCUGGCACCAAUCAGGGCUCUGCCACUUACUGUUUGGAGAAGCGAUUCACAAUUCGCAUC